rnacentral:misc_RNA from 1 species
GUUUCCCGUCUCGUUUUGGUAAUCUAAGCGACCACAACAAAACUUCAGUCUCGAGAUUUUUGAACUUCAUAAGGGAGACGUCUCUCCGGCGAAUGCGAACUUGUGUAGCGAAUGAUUGCAAAGUUGAAAAGAAGCUAAGUGGCAAGUGUGUAUUGACAGAUAGCUGGGUCCAAGACAAAGCUGUGCACACAACAUUAUACUGGCACAUGUUGAACUUUACAGUCUGAUGUAUUUUUAGGACUUCAUAUAUAUUGUGUCACUCUGGAAACUCAAACCUCGCUGAAAUGUCAAUUAUAUAUGCUGGAGCUGAGAGUGUGAUAUUAGACCAUGAGAUGUGGAUGCUGCAGCACUAUUUCUUGAGAGGGGAAGGUGACCAUUCAGCAAAUAAAAAAAAGAAGUUUCAGAUGUUGUUUGACCUUCGAACUCCAUUUCUUAUGGAUGGGCAAGCUGAGAAAAUUGCUUCCCAGUUAGAAGGAAAGGAAAUUAAGUCAAGAAAAAGAAAAAGAGAGCACAAAAUGAUGACUCCUCAAGAUAACCAUGAGGAAAACCACAUCCAAGAAGUGUUUGCAGCCCUACGCUUAAGGCCUGAAUAUAAGGAGGCAUUUUGCUAUGUCCCAAGCAGUGACGACUUCAGGAAAAACAACAGCUUGAUACGUGCAAUGAGGAAAAGAUUUACAGAAAUCUCAAACAUCACACUCCCAGUCCUUGAUGAAUCACACAAGAAUUUAAACAUUGGAGUCCAAGAAAUAGUAAAUAACAAGUUCCUACUUCCGCCAAAUGUCCGGUAUAUUUGUGAUGAUGUUAGGAAUCUACUGUCACAUGUGUCAGGAGAUCAAUUUGACAUCAUUGUGAUGGACCCCCCAUGGCUAAAUAAAUAUGUAAAGAGAAGGUGCCUAGCUCAUGGAAAUCAUCAUGGGUAUGAUAUGAUGCCAGUCAGUGACAUUCUUGCUCUACCUGUGAGUAAGAUCUUGAGUCCAAAGGCUUUGGUGGUCAUCUGGUGCACUAAUAAUGCCAGUAUUAUGGAGGAGUUUGUUCAAGGGCUGCACAAGUGGGGUGUUCACUUGGUGGCGACCUGGUACUGGUUAAAGGUUACCAGAGGUGGGGAGCCUGUGACACCCUUUGUUGCCAGUCAUGGUAAACGGCCAUAUGAACGCUUACUGAUUGCAAGCAACUGUGAGAAAGACAAAGACAGAAUUCCAGAUGGAUUAGUAAUAUGCAGUGUUCCGAGUGGAAUCCACUCCCACAAACCACCAUUAGAUGUUUACCUGGAGUUUGAAGUCAUAGAAGGAUGGAGGGAGUAUGAGUUAUGAGGAGAGAGAAAGAGAGACAUACAUACAGAAAAUGAUCAUGAAAAUUAAAAAUAAAGGUGCGACAUGGGAGAGAGGAAGGGAAACAGAUAGAUAGACAGGCAGAACUUCUGAAGAGAUUUUCAUCACCAGAACCUAGGUGUUUGGAACUAUUCUGCAGGAGUUUGUGUCCUGGAUGGACAUGCUAUGGGUUGGAAGUGGUCCGUCUGAAUCACUCAUUCCUGUUUGAAGAUGAAACCU